rnacentral:rRNA from 1 species
GAUGAACGCUGGCGGCGUGCCUAAUACAUGCCAGUCGAGCGAACGGACGAGAAGCUUGCUUCUCUGAUGUUAGCGGCGGACGGGUGAGUAACACGUGGAUAACCUACCUAUAAGACUGGGAUAACUUCGGGAAACCGGAGCUAAUACCGGAUAAUAUUUUGAACCGCAUGGUUCAAAAGUGAAAGACGGUCUUGCUGUCACUUAUAGAUGGAUCCGCGCUGCAUUAGCUAGUUGGUAAGGUAACGGCUUACCAAGGCAACGAUGCAUAGCCGACCUGAGAGGGUGAUCGGCCACACUGGAACUGAGACACGGUCCAGACUCCUACGGGAGGAAGCAGUAGGGAAUCUUCCGCAAUGGGCGAAAGCCUGACGGAGCAACGCCGCGUGAGUGAUGAAGGUCUUCGGAUCGUAAAACUCUGUUAUUAGGGAAGAACAUAUGUGUAAGUAACUGUGCACAUCUUGACGGUACCUAAUAAGAAAGCCACGGCUAACUACGUG